GAUGAACGCUGGCGGCGUGCCUAACACAUGCAAGUCGAGCGAUCUUCUUCGGAAGAGAGCGGCGGACGGGUGAGUAACGCGUGGGUAACCUGCCCUGUACACACGGAUAACAUACCGAAAGGUAUGCUAAUACGGGAUAACAUAAGAAAGUCGCAUGGCUUUCUUAUCAAAGCUUUUACGGUACAGGAUGGACCCGCGUCUGAUUAGCUAGUUGGUAAGGUAACGGCUUACCAAGGCGACGAUCAGUAGCCGACCUGAGAGGGUGAUCGGCCACAUUGGAACUGAGACACGGUCCAAACUCCUACGGGAGGCAGCAGUGGGGAAUAUUGCACAAUGGGCGAAAGCCUGAUGCAGCAACGCCGCGUGAGCGAUGAAGGCCUUCGGGUCGUAAAGCUCUGUCCUCAAGGAAGAUAAUGACGGUACUUGAGGAGGAAGCCCCGGCUAACUACGUGCCAGCAGCCGCGGUAAUACGUAGGGGGCUAGCGUUAUCCGGAAUUACUGGGCGUAAAGGGUGCGUAGGCGGUCUUUCAAGUCAGAAGUGAAAGGCUACGGCUCAACCGUAGUAAGCUUUUGAAACUGUAAGACUUGAGUGCAGGAGAGGAGAGUGGAAUUCCUAGUGUAGCGGUGAAAUGCGUAGAUAUUAGGAGGAACACCAGUUGCGAAGGCGGCUCUCUGGACUGU
rnacentral:rRNA from 1 species